CUGUUACAGCCUUUUUUUCUGAGUGGAUCCAGUCACAAGAAUGGAUUAGACUUGGAAGGAAACUCCCUUUCGUCUUGAGAUUUGGCCAAAGAUGCCACUGAGAAUUUGACCAGCCUCGCUUUUCUCAGUGGUCAAGAGUUGUAACUAGGGUAGAGAUAAUCUACAUUUGUUGUUGGGAACUUUAUUCUUUUUUGGUAUGGAAACAAAUUAUCUGUGUUUUCCCGCUGAAUCAUUUCCAUGAUUCCUUGCAGCUUUCAUGAAUCAGAGCUGUGGAUAAUCCAUAGAGAAGUUAACAUCUUUAUUUACUGCUUACUCUGAUGCAUCAGAGUUGACACCUCCUCAGAAGAGAGAACAAAACUUCCCUUUAGAUUCUCUUCUCUUCAUCCUGUUAAGCAUCCCAAAUUAGAGAAUCUAUCACCCACCAUCUCUCUGUGGCUUCUCUAGUCUUGGCACUGCUUGCACUGCAGGGAGAUGACGUUUCCCUUGGUCUCACCAGCUUUGGUCUCACCAGCUCAGAUACCAGAAGCAACAGGGAUUAUGUGCUGAGGAAUCUAUUUUUGCUUGCUUAGCUUUUGGUUUUAAGUUGAAUGUUUUACUUAAAAAUCACUUUAUACUAUUGCAGGGGGUAGAGGCUGCUUCUGGAGUCUGCCUGAGGAUCCCGCUUCUCACUUUCUCUGCUGACGUUGCCAUAUAGUUGCUAGAUUCAGUCACUUUUCUUUCUUUUCUUCUGCUUCAUUCUUCCUUGCUCAUCUCAUCUUAGAUUAUUCCUCACUGAGAUGUUCCUUUUCACUGGACCUCAGUGAAGUAUUUCCAUACCCUGGCAGAUGUUCCUGACACAAAAGUUGGCCCUUCUGUCUUGGCCAGUGUGGGACCAAAAAGUUUCCCUACCUGCUGGUGCCCUUGUGGUGACCUCUCAUCAUUCCCUGAGUGAAUCCAUCCCUCUGCACAUUUAUGCUCCUCAGGCUGAUCAGAAAAUAUGCAUCUCAAACAGCUCAUCUCAGCCUAGGGCAGAAGUCAUGGCGUGUCAGUCACCGCUUCCUUUGACUUUUUGGCCUUUUUGGAGGGCUGCAGCAUUUCCUCCUCUCAGAAUACACGAGUCCAUGUGGCACCUCUCCUCUCGACCCCACUGGGUAAGUAUCCUGCAGCCCUAUUCUGGGAUAGUCAUGUUUUGGCAUGUGACAGAGGGAUGAAUGGGACUUUCUGUUCUGCUGGAAACAAAGGAUGGCUCCAGACCCCUUUGGAGACCCCCAGGAAAACAGCAAUCUUCUUGUACAAUCAACUAGUGACCUUGAGACAAAAUUGAUUUCAAGGCUGAUGUUAAGUGUCACUUAAAUGACCAGAAUUAAGAUCCUACUUCUUAAUUAAGCAAUGAUUCUACUUAGCAGCAAGGAGCAACGCAGCAUCAUGCAGGCUUCAUGCCUGACACGAACUAUCCUUCCAUUUAAAAGGUGACAUAUUGAGUGCAAUUAAUUUUAUUUUCUGCUGUCAUUGGGCUGAACAGAUUCCUGUGCAAGCAGCACAGAAGGUGGCUUGGCAAGGCUGGCUAGCUCAGGGGAACCAUAGCUCAGAAAUGCUGAUAUCCUUGCUGAAAUCCUUGGUGAUAUACUAGAAGACGACUGAUAUUUUGUCUUCAUACUACCUGUAAGCCUGGAGGAUUGAUGUCUGCAGCUUGGGGCUAAGGUUUGGAAACCAGACACGUUCUCAAGUCAUUGACAGAGCAUGUGUAUGAGAUCCUGCUGAAGUUUGUCAUCUGUCCAUCAGUGUCUCCUGCUGAUGCUUUAGUCAUCUUUUGUGAGAAAAAUACAAAUCUGUGGAGAAAUGAAAUACAGUGGCUUAAUCAUAUCACAGGAAAGAACAUGCAGCUUUUGCUUUUGGUUUGUGAGUUGUUGGAAGGAUACACUGUGAAAAUGUAUCUCUGCAGCCAAACUUCCAUGGUUUCUACAGUUUAUUUUCCAUGAAAAAAGUUAAGAUAAGGAAAAAAAAAAUAUUUUAACCCAAAUGUAGUCUCGAGCACCUGAUUUGUCCCUUUGACUUGGCCAGUGCUCAUCCUCUUUAACAUCCCCUGGUUCCUCUUAGCACAGGCUUUAGAUCAGCUAGUAUUCAUCUACCUUGAGAGCCUCUGCUCUUUCCCAUAACCUUAUCAAUUCCUGCCCAUGUGGUCCUCAAAUAUGGCAAUAUUUGAUAUUCACAAUAGAAAGGGCUUAUAGAUACAACCUACGUAGCAUGAAUUUCUUACAUCAUAGCAAAAGUCUUGUGAAUAAGUGCAACCAAGAGCAUGCUACUAUGAUGGAAGAGGCCAGUCCACAGUUAAAUGAAUGGCAAUCAAGUUUCAGGAUAUCAAGUUGGGACCAUCUCUGAGCAGUAACAUUAGGGCCAACAUGCACAAUUUGAGGAAUUGUGGAAACAGAUUGAUGACUUUCUAGGCAAAGCCACUAGAACAACAGUCAUAAGGCAUUGGUAAAUAAAAAUAAUCGCUUCUGUUUCAGGAUUCAAUCACUGGAUUUAACCUGCAGGUAGAAUAAUCUUGGGACUGUUCCCUAAAAUUGUGCUGUUUCUGUGUGAUCUUAUGUUAGAGGAAUCAGAUAAUGUAAGCGUGGUUGUAGAGUUGAGAAAUAGCUGCAAGAAUCAUUGGAGAGGUUCAGCUUACAGCCUCUAUUAUAGGAAUGCACACAAACAUAUUGACCCACCUACAAAAUGAACAUAUCUAGGUACCCUAGCAUGCAUUCAGGCUUAGUCUGGAGGUGGGUGUCAGGAUACUGGUGGCAUUAAUUGGUCUUAAUAGCCCUGAACAGCCUCACCUGAGACCUCCACACACCCCCAUAGCCCAUUUCAGCUGUAGCACCUAUUUCAGUUCAGCCUAUAGGGCUGCUCUCUGGUUUGGUCCUAACCGUUGGCUCUGCUGGGCUGUGACCCAUGGCUUGGACUUGGGAUGUGCCUUGUCACCGUGAGCUGACAAGAUUUGGGCUUUUGGUUGAACCUGACUGCUGAGUCCUGCUCUGCUCAGGUACUCUGGAACAGGAUCCUUCUCACAGCAGCCUCCUGUACGGCUUGACCAGACUGCCCCUCAGUGGGAUAACUCUGGGGAUUCCCCGAGAAGUAGCAAAUACUAUCGGCAUGCCUAUGCAGCGCUGCUUUCCUGGGGCCUUGUCACUUCUGCAGUAGAUAAUGGAGCUACACCAGCAUCUCUGGUCCUUCUGGAUGCUGCUGCUCGCUGUGGCUACGCUCUGAUUCUCCUGCCUGCAGGGAUCCCAGUUCCUAGUGCAGUGCAUAACCUGCUCAUAUGCCAAGGCAUGGAUGCUGGAAGCUGUUUUUUGCCUGCGUCUUCUUUGAGCAUCAGUAUCUCUGGAAAAUACAAUGCUGGAGCUGUGAGCCUAGCCCUGAUAUAAGAACCUCUGAGGGGAAAAAAAAAAAAGCCAUGAAUGAUUCAUAGAUGCAAGGGGGGAAAAAGACGAAGAGAGAGAGGGAGAGAAAGAGAGAUUAAGAGAGAGAAGCUUCAAAGUGACUGGAGCGGAUUUGAAGUCCUGAGCGUUCCUGUGCUGGGCAGGCCAGCAAUUCACCAGAGAGACCCCGUCAAGCUCCCCCCAUCCUUCGCCCCGGCCUCAUCCCUGCUGCCUCCUCCUCCUCCUCCUCACCGCCAACGCAGCCUCCCAGUCGCAGGUUCAAAGUUCAGCAGCAUCUAAUGACGGGAAGGCCUCCCAAACCCUCUGUGAGUGGCAUCUGUUUAUAGGCACGGCCCUUCCCUGGUGGUUUAGCCUGGCUCAAAAUAAAAUAAAAUAAAAGAGGAGGAGGAAGAGCGGAAUGAGACACAGGGCUCUUAAAAAAAAAAAAGUAUGAAAAAAUCUACUGGUGAUGAAGUGCCUUUGAUUCUGAAUAUUAAAAAAGCCCGUUAGAUUUAAAUGUAGUGAGAAUAUUAACGCUACUGCCUUGAUUUGUAUUCACUGGCUACCAUGGGUACACUUUGGGAGUGUGAAAGAAAAAUAUGGCUCAUGCCUGGGUGGGAUGCUGGCCUUCCCAGCAAGAAGCAGCCAGGGGGACAGAGGGACGGGUUAUCCCCUCUCCAUCCAUGCUCCUGGCCAUCGGAGGGAUGGCGACAUCCAAAGGCACAACUGGUGGGAUCAGCACCUGCAUGGUUAAAACUCAUUGUUCUUUUGCAGAAAAAUUCAGGCAUUUCAAAACUUGGUUUUGCUGUGCCCAGAAUAAAGGAGUAUCCUCUUCCAGGCAAUCCAAGUCUCAAAAUUAUUUUUUCCCCUGUUUUAUUUAAUAUCAUUAAAUUUUUGCUCCUUCAAUUUAAUGAUGUGAUUGAAUUAAAUGCAUGAACUAUCAUAGCAGACCUGCAGAGGAAGUGAGUGAAGUCUAGGGCAAAUCCUGUAAGACCUGUUAUUGUUUAUAUGUCACAAAAUAAAUGACACAACAAUGAAUGGCUAAUACUUUAAUUAGCAUUACAUGCUGACUUUAUUUUAUUAAUCAAAGGCAGUAACAGUCAGUGGUCUAAUGAAACAGCUUGAUGUUUUAAUACUUCCAAAAGAGAAAAAGAGAUAAGGACUCUGCACUAAUUAGAGUAGCAGCUGAUUUUAGGAAAAAAAAAAAUCUGAAAUUGUUGCCUGGCUAAAACAAGGAUAUCAAACACGGCAAAUACUCCAAUUUAUAAAAGGAAAAAAAUGAAAAAUAAAACCAGAAGCUUUUAAGAUGUUGAGAAUAGAAGAAAUGAUAGGCAGCUGUACUGUCAUAUCGUAUGUCCCAACCUGUCAUUAGUACUACCAAGUGUUGCGACAUGAGGUGUUCCAACAGAAAUAGAAAGAAAUCAUAUUGAACAAAUAACGCUGUUCCAAGUAUUAGACCACAAUUAAUAUUUAAUAUCAUAGUGCAGUUUCUGAAAUUUCUGAAUUACUCUUAGGAUUUCAAAUACUCUAAAUCCAAUGGAAAUCAAAAUCAAACAAUUUGGCAAAAGUAUUUUCAUUUUGACUUGGGCUUUUUUAGAAGGAAAACUUCAGUGCUGAGGUUUUCUAAGGGCCCACAUCUUAGCAGGGAGCUGGACAGAUGCUGGAACCUCUAAUGAAUACGUGCACAGAAAUGGGUUAAUGUCUGUUUUAAUGGCUGACUCCCUGGCCAUGUGUGUCCUCCACACAGAUGGCCCAUUGCUUAGAUUGUCGCUGGCAACUGGAAAGGCAAUAUGGAUGUACAUUGGACUGCCACACUGUGGGUGUUCCUUGCAAACAGCCAGCUGUCAAGUCUCAAAAAAUUGAAGAGAACCCAGGUUGGAGUUGGAGCAAAGCAGCUGAUCUCACCAUAACAACAGCAAACACUGACUUGGACAAGUCCAGGUUUCCACCUACAGUUCUUUAAUCAGUCUCAGCAUACAGGUGGAUUGCAAAGUAAGGAAUAAUACAUCACCAGCAUGAGGUCUGGGUACUCCAAGACACAUUGACCAUGAUGUCCUGGUCAGACCACUAUCUCAGGCUUCACUUGUUCAAUUCUUGACAUGUUGGAUCUGGACAACCACUUUUUCUUUGCCUGGUUUUGAGCUUCACCCAAAUUGCCUGCUGGACUUGCUGUGGACACGUCACUCAAUGCAACAUCUACACUUUCCUUGAACACCUCUAGAGUUGGUGACUCCACCACCUCCCCGUGCAACCUCCUGAUCAUCUGCAGAAGUUACUGACCGUUGUGUGUAGAUCUCUACAGUAACUGUAUAGCAGGCAGGGUGUAGCAAAUUUGCAGAGCAGAUGGUCUGAGACGUUCCUGGUCCUCAAACAGAGAAGUCUGAGGAGAGGGACCAAGCAUAACUCUGAUGCAAAUUUGUUAGUCAGUGCCUUGAAAAUCCCACCUCUGUGUGACAAACGCAUAAGAACUGGCAUAAAAUGGACUGUAUCACCUCCCAACUCCUCACUCUCACUGUUUGAGCUGAAGUUGCAUUCUUUCAGCAAAAGCUCAUGAAGUGGUUGAACUCAGUGACGCUGGACCAGCUUGUACUAGCAGAGCCUGUGUCCAUACGUUGCCACUGUGGAGUGCAAUGUGAUUUCCCCCAGAGGAAAAUUUCUGUUGCAAUGCACAGGCAUAUAAGGAAGCACAAUUAACUUCUCUGGAGGAGCCUAAAGCCUGUUUUCCUUGAGUGUUGUGUAAUUAAAACCUCAGUCUUGUUAAUACAUUAGUGAGAUGUUUGCAUAUAAUUCAUCAAAUGUUUAUGAAAAUGCGUAACAAAUAAUCCUGACAAACAAGUUGCUUAAUUGAGAUAAGGGAUGGGAAGCCUUGUGAAUUUUUAAUAAAAAGGGGGAAAGAAAGCAUGCUACGUUAAUCAGAUGAAGUUAUCUCAUUCAAUAUUUCCAAGUGACUUCUCCAGUGCACAUUUUAUUUAAUAUAUUACACAAAAGGAAUAACUUGAUCCCCCAGUGAGAUCUGUGUAGAAAAUCCUCUCUUGCAACAAACACAGCAUUGGCUU